GAGUUUGAUCCUGGCUCAGGACGAACGCUGGCGGCGUGCUUAACACAUGCAAGUCAAGGGGGCCCAGCAAUGGGCAACCGGCGAACGGGUGCGUAACACGUGAGCAACCUACCGAAGUGUGGGGGAUAGCCGGCCUAACGGCCGAGUAAUACCGCAUACGAUUCCGAAGAGGCAUUUCUUUGGAAUGAAACCUACGGGGUACUUCGAGGGGCUCGCGGCCUAUCAGCUAGUUGGUGAGGUAACGGCUCACCAAGGCAACGACGGGUAGCUGGUCUGAGAGGAUGGCCAGCCACAUUGGGACUGAGAAACGGCCCAGACUCCUACGGGAGGCAGCAGUGGGGAAUCUUGCGCAAUGGCCUAACGGCUGACGCAGCGACGCCGCGUGAGGGAUGAAGCUCCUCGGAGUGUAAACCUCUGUUGCCCGGGACGAACAGCUCGUUUAAACGAGCCUGACGGUACCGGGUGAGGAAGCACCGGCUAACUCCGUGCCAGCCGCCGCU
rnacentral:rRNA from 1 species